rnacentral:rRNA from 1 species
CCAAUAGCGUAUAUUAAAGUUGCUGCAGUUAAAAAGCUCGUAGUUGAAUUUCGGGACUAAUAUGUCGGUCGUGCCUCGGUACGUACUGGCUUCUUUGGUUUCUCCCUUCUGAAGAACCAUGAUGUCAUUCAUUUGGUGUCGUGGGGAAUCAGGACUGUUACUUUGAAAAAAUUAGAGUGUUUAAAGCAGGCUAACGCUUGAAUACAUUAGCAUGAAAUAAUGAAAUAGGACGAUUGAUUAUAUUUUGUUGGUUUCUAGGAUCGACGUAAUGAUUAAUAGGGAUAGUUGGGGGCAUUAGUAUUCAAUUGUCAGAGGUGAAAUUCUUGGAUUUAUUGAAGACUAACUACUGCGAAAGCAUUUGCCAAGGAUGUUUUCAUUAAUCAAGAACGAAAGUUAGGGGAUCGAAGACGAUCAGAUACCGUCGUAGUCUUAACCAUAAACUAUGCCGACUAGGGAUCGGACGAUGUUAAUUUUUUAAUGACUCAUUCGGCGCCUUACG